GACGAACGCUGGCGGCGUGCUUAACACAUGCAAGUCGAACGGAAAGGCCCUGCUUUUGUGGGGUGCUCGAGUGGCGAACGGGUGAGUAACACGUGAGUAACCUGCCCUUGACUUUGGGAUAACUUCAGGAAACUGGGGCUAAUACCGGAUAGGAGCUCCUGCUGCAUGGUGGGGGUUGGAAAGUUUCGGCGGUUGGGGAUGGACUCGCGGCUUAUCAGCUUGUUGGUGGGGUAGUGGCUUACCAAGGCUUUGACGGGUAGCCGGCCUGGGAGGGUGACCGGCCACCUUGGGACUGCGGUACGGCCCAGACUCCUACGGGAGGCAGCAGUGGGGAAUAUUGCGCAAUGGGCGGAAGCCUGAUGCAGCAGCGCCGCGUUCGUGAUGACGGCCUUCGGGUUGUAAACCGCUUUCGCCUGAGACGAAGCGUGAGUGACGGUAAUGGGUAAGGAAGCACCGGCUAACUACGUG
rnacentral:rRNA from 1 species